GCUGCAGAAGCCACGGAAACCAAAACAUGCCAAGGACUAACCUGGGAUAAGCUUAAAAGAAGCAGAGGAUUCAUCAGCAUUGUGUGGAAGAAAAAGAUGCAUGUAAUGUUGUACAAUGGAAAAGAAUGCAGAAGGUGUUGGACGUCCUCUGUAAUUGCCCCCCAUGGUUUGGCUGUCUGAAGAACACCUGGACUUCCACAAAGCACACCAACAGUUGCGACUGUCAGAAAAGCAUGCGUGCACGUCUCAUCUUGAAGAACAGAUUUGUUUUUUGACAAUCCUCUGAAUUCUAUUUUUUGACUUUUUAAGUCAAUGAACUAUAUAAUUGCUUUGAAAACAUUUAUUUUUAUUUUUUGGUGCUUCUGUUGCUACACAAUCGUACAUAGCUGUGCCAUUGCAUUUAUAUGUGUUUUGGACUAAUAGUUGGUUUGCAAGGACAUUACUGUUUAAGUCAAGUUUUAUUAUAACUUGAUGAUGAUGACUGAUUACCACAUGGCAGUUGAGUGAGAUGAGAAAAUGCAAAAAAACAAAACAAAAAACCAAAACAAAACAUCUGUUUAUUAAAGCUGGGCCAGCGUGUGAUUUGACUGAGUGUCAAAAGUCCAUUUAUCUUGCUGAACAAGGUGGCAGAAGCCAGCCAGGAUUAAAGAACUGGGUCUCCGGCCGACUCUCACCUUCAGCACUCUCUCAGCUCGGAAUGAGAGUGCUCCAUCAUCCAACGCGCUCCGUGACACCAGCUGGGCAACUAGGUGGAAAGAGCAAUGGGGGUGUCGUGCUGUCCACGAGCACCUUCCCUGUGCCACAACAAGGCCUGCUUUGGUUUUCGACUCACGCAUCGCCUGCACAUGAACAAAGAGGAAGCACCUUGGUGACUGCUCAUGAUCAAGGCCAUUACCACUGCCCACAAAAAACAGCACACAGUGUUUUGUCUUUUUGACACCGUGAAGUUACCAAAAAAAAUUAAAUGUUUGUUCACUUGCUGGCUAUGAUAUUAUACAAUUUCACAGUCUGCACCAACAUCAUCAUCAUCAUCAUCACUACAUACA